rnacentral:rRNA from 1 species
UACGGAGGGGGCUAGCGUUGUUCGGAAUUACUGGGCGUAAAGCGCGCGUAGGCGGACCUGCAAGUCGGGGGUGAAAGCCCGAGGCUCAACCUCGGAACUGCCUUCGAUACUGCGGGUCUCGAGUCCGGGAGAGGUGAGUGGAAUUCCUAGUGUAGAGGUGAAAUGCGUAGAUAUCUGGAGGAACACCGGUGGCGAAGGCGGCAUCCUGGACCGGCAUUGACGCUGAGGCGCGAAAGCCAGGGGAGCAAACGGG